rnacentral:rRNA from 1 species
CCUACGGGCGGCAGCAGUGGGGAAUAUUGCACAAUGGGGGAAACCCUGAUGCAGCGACGUCGCGUGAGUGAAGAAGUAUCUCGGUACGUAAAGCUCUAUCAGCAGGGAAGCAAAUGACGGUACCUGACUCAGAAGCCCCGGCUAACUACGUGACAGCAGCCGCGGUAACACGGCGGGGGCAAGCGUUAUCCGGAUGUACUGGGUGUAAAGGGAGCGUAGUCGGCAGCACAAGUCUAGAGUGAAAUCCCGGGGCUUAACCCCGGAACUGCUUUGGAAACUGUGCGGCUGGAGUGCAGGAGGGGUAAGCGGAAUGCGUGGUGUAGCGGUGAAAUGCGUAGAUAUUAGGAAGAACACCGAUGGCGAAGGCGGCUUACUGGAGUGUAACUGACGUUGAGGCUCGAAAGCGUGGGUAGCAAACAGGAUUAGAUACCCCAGUAGUC